AGCAAAUUAUCAUUCGGAAGUUAUCUUGAUUUUUCAUGAUAACUAAAAUGUUUGAAUCUAAUGACAUUUUUUCAACAAGCUAUUAAAAAAAGUAGCAUGAACUUAACAAUUCACUAAGACAUAUAUAUGACAUACAGCAAAAACAUACAGAAACAUUUUUUGCAACUUGAGGUUAAGAAAACAGCAAUUAAUGUACCUAUUCCCUCCCCA
rnacentral:lncRNA from 1 species